UGUAUGGCAUUGUGGAAA
rnacentral:miRNA from 1 species